rnacentral:rRNA from 1 species
AAAUUGAAGAGUUUGAUCAUGGCUCAGAUUGAACGCUGGCGGCAGGCCUAACACAUGCAAGUCGAACGGUAACAGGAAGCAGCUUGCUGCUUUGCUGACGAGUGGCGGACGGGUGAGUAAUGUCUGGGAAACUGCCUGAUGGAGGGGGAUAACUACUGGAAACGGUAGCUAAUACCGCAUAACGUCGCAAGACCAAAGAGGGGGACCUUCGGGCCUCUUGCCAUCGGAUGUGCCCAGAUGGGAUUAGCUAGUAGGUGGGGUAAAGGCUCACCUAGGCGACGAUCCCUAGCUGGUCUGAGAGGAUG